CCUACGGGCGGCAGCAAUGAGGCAUAUUGGUCAAUGGGCGUAAGCCUGAACCAGCCAAGUCGCGUGAGGGAUGAAGGUUCUAUGGAUCGUAAACCUCUUUUAUAAGGGAAUAAAGUGUGGGACGUGUCCUGUUUUGUAUGUACCUUAUGACUAAGGAACGGCUAACUCCGUGCCAGCCGCCGCGGUCAUACGGAGGAUCCGAGCGUUAUCCGGAUUUAUUGGGUUUAAAGGGUGCGUAGGCGGCCUUUUAAGGCAGCGGUGAAAGUCUGUGGCUCAACCAUAGAAUUGCCGUUGAAACUGGGAGGCUUGAGUAUGUUUGAGGCAGGCGGAAUGCGUGGUGUAGCGGUGAAAUGCUUAGAUAUCACGCAGAACCACGAUUGCGAAGGCAGCCUGCCAAGCCAUGACUGACGCUGAUGCACGAAAGCGUGGGGAUCAAACAGGAUUAGAUACCCGAGUAGUC
rnacentral:rRNA from 1 species